AUACGGAGGGUGCAAGCGUUGUUCGGAAUUACUGGGCGUAAAGCGCGCGUAGGCGGUUUGUUAUGUCAGAUGUGAAAGUCCACGGCUCAACCGUGGAAGUGCAUUUGAAACUGGCAAACUUGAGUACUGGAGGGGGUGGUGGAAUUCCCGGUGUAGAGGUGAAAUUCGUAGAUAUCGGGAGGAAUACCGGUGGCGAAGGCGACCACCUGGCCAGAUACUGACGCUGAGGUGCGAAAGCGUGGGGAGCAAACAGAAUUAGAUACCCUAGUAGUCC
rnacentral:rRNA from 1 species